GGUUCCAUAGUGUAGCGGUUAGCACGUCUGCUUUAUAUACAGAAGGUCCUGGUUACGGGCCCUAGUGGAGCCA
rnacentral:tRNA from 1 species